UACAGAGGGUGCGAGCGUUGCUCCGGAAUCAUUGGGCGUAAAGAGCUCGUAGGCGGCUCGGAAAGUCGGGCGUGAAAUGCCGGGGCUCAACCCCGGGACUGCGUCCGAUACUUCCGAGCUGGAGGUAGGUAGGGGAGAUCGGAAUUCCUGGUGUAGCGGUGAAAUGCGCAGAUAUCAGGAGGAACACCGGUGGCGAAGGCGGAUCUCUGGGCCUUACCUGACGCUGAGGCGCGAAAGCUAGGGGAGCGAACAGG
rnacentral:rRNA from 1 species